rnacentral:rRNA from 1 species
GAUGAACGCUGGCGGCGUGCCUAAUACAUGCAAGUCGAGCGAACGGACGAGAAGCUUGCUUUUCUGAUGUUAGCGGCGGACGGGUGAGUAACACGUGGAUAACCUACCUAUAAGACUGGGAUAACUUCGGGAAACCGGAGCUAAUACCGGAUAAUAUUUUGAACCGCAUGGUUCAAAAGUGAAAGACGGUCUUGCUGUCACUUAUAGAUGGAUCCGCGCUGCAUUAGCUAGUUGGUAAGGUAACGGCUUACCAAGGCAACGAUGCAUAGCCGACCUGAGAGGGGGAUCGGCCACACUGGAACUGAGACACGGUCCAGACUCCUAAGGGAGGCAGCAGUAGGGAAUCUUCCGCAAUGGGCGAAAGCCUGACGGAGCAACGCCGCGUGAGUGAUGAAGGUAUUCGGAUCGUAAAACUCUGUUAUUAGGGAAGAACAUAUGUGUAAGUAACUGUGCACAUCUUGACGGUACCUAAUCAGAAAGCCACGGCUAACUACGUG